UACGUAGGGUGCAAGCGUUGUCCGGAAUUAUUGGGCGUAAAGAGCUCGUAGGCGGUCUGUUGCGUCGGCUGUGAAAACCCGGGGCUCAACUCCGGGCCUGCAGCCGAUACGGGCAGACUAGAGUUCGGCAGGGGAGACUGGAAUUCCUGGUGUAGCGGUGAAAUGCGCAGAUAUCAGGAGGAACACCGGUGGCGAAGGCGGUUCUCUGGGCCUUACCUGACACUGAGGAGCGAAAGCGUGGGGAGCGAACAGG
rnacentral:rRNA from 1 species